GGCCGCCAGCGGGGUGCGGGCCGACGGGGGCGCGGAGCCGGGACUGCCCGGAGCCGGGACUGCGGGCGCCGGAAGGGACGCGGCGCUCGGGGCCGCCGCGUGUGUCGGUUCCUGCCGUUGGGCUGCGGGAGGCGGAGCGAGGAGCUGACGGCAAACAUGAGAUGGACGAGGGGCCCGCGAAGCCAGGGGUGCCGGAGUGCCGCCGCCGCGCUGCCGGGGUGCCCGCCGGAGCGCAGGGCUGGGCGGGGUGUUCGCUCCGGUGGCUGCAGCUGGGCGCGUUCUGGGCUCGGCAACAAGGGAGCGCUGUAAAGCAGAUCUUCGCUGUGCUACAUCAGUGUUUUUAAACUGAGAAUUAAAAAAACUGGAGUACGUUCUGGGGCAAAGCGCUCCCUGAGAAGAGGUCCUCGCGUGGCGCGUUCCUCCUGCUCCAGAGACUUGGGCGCGUGUUGCUGUUCCUUGAGCGUGAUCUGCAGAAGCCUCUGCUUGAUCUCUGAGGGCACGAAAAGAACGAGAUCAGUGAGUGGGAAGGAACUGGAUCCGCCUGGGAGUUGCAGGAACAAAGUGUUCUUCAUACUCCAAUUACCUGUCAUUAAGCUCUGCGGGCGCAGGAUCCCUCCCCGAGGGCGAUGGCGGUGCCAUCACCAGCCCUGCGUGGCCCUCCUGCUCCGGGAGCAGGGGGGUUUGGGGGUUUGCUGUGUCCCUCCCGCAGAAAUAAAUGCAGUUUUCCGAAUUCUGCAUUCCGGUUACCAGCUUUCCUGAGUAUACCCAAGGAACAGAAGGUUGGCAGGAGCUGUGACACAGCAAAUGGAGGAAAACAUUUAGUUCGUUGCCUUCUAAGCUUCCUUUUCCCCUUAUUUGGGAGCCCACCGGAACAGUAACCGUGAAUAACUACACAGUGGAUUUUAAAUACUGUCAUUCAUUGUGCAGUGUGUCCUCUGACCAGCGUGUGGGGAUAUGCCCAUGUACUUGAAGAGAACAUUAUAUGCCCAAUACAUUUUUUACACAGAAAAGUCACUUGAUAUAACUGGCUUAAUGCAUUAAAUAAAAAGUAUAUAAAGCAUGAAACA
rnacentral:lncRNA from 1 species